GGAUCCAGACUUUGAUCAUGGCUCAGGACGAACGCUGGCGGCGCGCCUAACACAUGCAAGUCGAACGGAGCUUAGAGAGCUUGCUUUUUAAGCUUAGUGGCGAACGGGUGAGUAACGCGUGAGUAACCUGCCCUAGAGUGGGGGACAACAGUUGGAAACGACUGCUAAUACCGCAUAAGCCCACGGUACCGCAUGGUACUGAGGGAAAAGGAUUUAUUCGCUUUAGGAUGGACUCGCGUCCAAUUAGCUAGUUGGUGGGGUAACGGCCCACCAAGGCGACGAUUGGUAGCCGGACUGAGAGGUUGAACGGCCACAUUGGGACUGAGACACGGCCCAGACUCCUACGGGAGGCAGCAGUGGGGGAUAUUGCACAAUGGGGGAAACCCUGAUGCAGCGACGCCGCGUGGAGGAAGAAGGUUUUCGGAUUGUAAACUCCUGUCGUUAGGGACGAUAAUGACGGUACCUAACAAGAAAGCACCGGCUAACUACGUGCCAGCAGCCGCGGUAAAACGUAGGGUGCAAGCGUUGUCCGGAAUUACUGGGUGUAAAGGGAGCGCAGGCGGGAAGACAAGUUGGAAGUGAAAACCAUGGGCUCAACCCAUGAAUUGCUUUCAAAACUGUUUUUCUUGAGUAGUGCAGAGGUAGAUGGAAUUCCCGGUGUAGCGGUGGAAUGCGUAGAUAUCGGGAGGAACACCAGUGGCGAAGGCGGUCUACUGGGCACCAACUGACGCUGAGGCUCGAAAGCAUGGGUAGCAAACAGGAUUAGAUACCCUGGUAGUCCAUGCCGUAAACGAUGAUUACUAGGUGUUGGGGGAUUGACCCCCUCAGUGCCGCAGUUAACACAAUAAGUAAUCCACCUGGGGAGUACGACCGCAAGGUUGCAACUCAAAUGAAUUGACGG
rnacentral:rRNA from 1 species